rnacentral:lncRNA from 1 species
GCCGGCAAAACCAUAUGGGUCACCUGAGGGACCAGCGCCAGAGCUGGAAGGAUCAAAAGUAUCUACCUCUGCAGGAUCUCUGCCCAAAUGCCGAAUGAAAAGAUGUGACCGGUCCAGCUGCCGAGUCAAUCUGUCAAUCUGUGUCACAUGAGUCGGAUCUCUGACACAGGCUAGCCAAUCCGUCAUCAUCACGGAUCCUGG